rnacentral:tRNA from 5 species
GCUGGUGUGGCUCAAUGGCAGAGCAGCUGACUUGUAAUCAGCAGGUUGUAGGUUCGACUCCUAUCACCAGCUCCA